rnacentral:rRNA from 1 species
CCUACGGGAGGCAGCAGUGGGGAAUAUUGGACAAUGGGGGGAACCCUGAUCCAGCGACGCCGCGUGAGUGAAGAAGUCUUUCGGUAUGUUAAGCUCUAUCAGCAGGGAAGAAAAUGACGGUCCCUGACUAAGAAGCCCCGGCUUACUACGUGCCAGCAGCCGCGGUACUACCGAGGGGGCAAGCGUUAUCCGGAUUUACGGGGUGUAAAGGGAUCGUAUACGGUGCAUCAAAUCCGAUGUGAAAGGUCUGGGGCCAACCCCGGGACUGCAGUGGAAACUGUUGAACUGGAGUACGGGAGAGGUAAGCGGAAUGCGUAGUGUAGCGGUGAAAUGCAUAGAUAUUAGGAGGAACACCGGUGGCGAAGGCAGCUUACUGGACUGUAACUGACGUUGAGGCUCGAAAGCGUGGGGAGCGAACAGGAUUAGAUACCCUAGUAGUC